UACGGAGGGGGCGAGCGUUAUUCGGAAUUAUUGGGCGUAAAGGGCGCGUAGGCGGCUUGGCAAGUCAAAGGUGAAAUCCCUCGGCUCAACUGAGGAACUGCCUUUGAAACUGCCUGGCUUGAGGCCGGGAGGGGGUAGCGGAAUUCCCAGUGUAGCGGUGAAAUGCGUAGAUAUUGGGAGGAACACCAGUGGCGAAGGCGGCUAUCUGGACGGUUUCUGACACUAAGACUCGAAAGCGUGGGGAGCAAACAGG
rnacentral:rRNA from 1 species